UAAGGACAUGUGGAGCGCUUAGAAGUGAGAAUGCCGGUGUGAGUAGCGAAAGACGGGUGAGAAUCCCGUCCACCGAUUGACUAAGGUUUCCAGAGGAAGGCUCGUCCGCUCUGGGUUAGUCGGGUCCUAAGCUGAGGCCGACAGGCGUAGGCGAUGGAUAACAGGUUGAUAUUCCUGUACCACCUAUAAUCGUUUUAAUCGAUGGGGGGACGCAGUAGGAUAGGCGAAGCGUGCGAUUGGAUUGCACGUCUAAGCAGUAAGGCUGAGUAUUAGGCAAAUCCGGUACUCGUUAAGGCUGAGCUGUGAUGGGGAGAAGACAUUGUGUCUUCG
rnacentral:rRNA from 1 species